UGAAAUUUGUAAUCUCAUUUUGAGAGUUUUUCCCUUAAUUUGCAAUUCUUGUGAUAGAAUGCAUGAGAACCAUUCAACCUAACCUUGAUCAAGUUUGAUUGUGGAGUACUGGCUCAAUUUAGAACAAGAUUUCCAAAUCUUGCUUCUAGAUCUUUGAUAUAAGAGGAGUUGGUUGAUGGUUAUCGUACUAACUAUGGUAAGCCUCGGUGUACUAUGAAAGUUGAUUUUCAAAAAGCUUAUAAUUCUGUUAACUGGGACUUUCUUUUCGACUUGUUGACGACUAUUGGCACCCCCUUGAGGUUUGUGAGUUGGUUGAGAGCUUGUGUUACCUCUCAGAUGUUCUCCAUUAUGAUUAAUGGCUCUUUGGAGGGUUUUUUUUCAUGAAAGAAAAGGUUUGAGGCAGAGUGAUCCUUUAUCUCCUUUCCUUUUUGUGAUGGUUAGAUUUUGUCUCGUAUGUUAAAUCGGCCUCCUCAGAGCACCAUCACUGUGAGAAUGUUAGUUUAACACAUCUGACCUUCGCAGAUGAUCUUUUGAUAUUUUGUGCAGCUUAUGAGUCCUCUUUGAAUUUUAUCAACGAGACUCUUUGGAAGUUUAGUGAACUCUCAAGGCUGUUUGCAAAUCUUGAAAAAAGUUAUAUUUUUGUUAUGGAGGUUAAUAGUGAGGAAGCUUCUCGUUUAGCUGCUAGUUUGAGUUUAACCUUGAUGCUUUGGAGAAAAAAAAUGGACAAUACUUCCCAUUGAUAUUUCAAUUGAUUUUGUUGGUUGAGAUUCUACUUAUGGAACAACGUGCUUGACCAUACGUCAUUUACUCAUAAUAACCAUAUAUAUAGAUUAAAAAAUGUUUGGCUCUUAAUACCCAACUGUGUUAAUUACUCCACUUAAAUUUAUACUCAGUACAAAUAUAACUUUAACAAAGACCCAAAAUGUCUCAAAAUAAAAUGUUUCAUCUAUUAAAACAACCUAAAGAAAAACAGAGGUUGAAAUAUCAAUCAUAAUACCAAGAAAAAAGAAGAGAAUGUGGAGGCGACAAUCAUUAUUCCAGUGUUCAUCCCCUAAGUGUAAAUUGAUUGGGAUGUUCAGUCUUAAUCCUUAUCCUUUUUUCUUUCCAUUCUUUCGACUGAGGAGUAUGAAAAUCAAAGGAAAUUUAUAUACACAUAAAAUAUUGUUCACAAACAGACAGAGGCGACGAUCAUUAUUUCUACAUGUUUGCGUUUUCCACUAUCAUUUUUUCUUUUUUCUUUUCUUUUUUU